AAAUGAGGGACUGCAGGUUGAGCUGUCAAAAGAGGGACCUCUAAAAACAGGACAGUUGGGAGAGAAGACGGGGAAUUGGAAGAGGGUGAAGUACAAGAUUUAGGUGUAGAAGAGAAGCCUCGAGAAAUAAGGAAAUAGAAGACCAACGGGAAGUCCACAAAGAGAAAAGAAAGGCCAAAAAAGAAAGGAAAACAUCACAGACAAGAGAAACACAGGCAUAACGUUCCUGAAAGUGAUAACAGCUCAGAGUACAGUGGUGAUUCUGAUACAGAGCAUGGAGAAAGGUCACACAAAGAUACUAUGUACAGAGAUUAUGAUGUUCAAUAUUCACAGCAUGGACCAGGGAGCUAUAUUACAUCCCCAAAGCAUAAGAAAAAUGCAAAUGAUUAUGAUGGUAAUAGUAACUACAGUGAUGGUAACUACAAUGAGGAAGAAGAAGAAGAUUUUGCUGAAUAGCUGAAACACUACAGACAAGCAAAGGAGAACACAAAUGUGGCUGAACUACAAUGUGAAAGGAAUUUAGCAAGGUAAAUGUAUUGAAACAUACAUCAAUGAAGAAUUGUUGCCACUUAUUACAGACAUGCUGUUUUUAGUCUUCACAAGCGCUUCACGUAGGGGGUAGCAUCCAGAUGAAUAUAAUCAGCGGUGGAGCCGAAGAAUAAAUUAAAAGUUCAACUUUAUUCAAUCCCUUUAAAAUAGUAUAUACAAGCGUGCACAGUAUGCAAUUGGCAAUAAAGAGUCGCAUAUGAGUUAA